UACGUAGGGGGCAAGCGUUGUCCGGAAUCAUUGGGCGUAAAGAGCGUGUAGGCGGCCCGGUAAGUCCGCUGUGAAAGUCCAGGGCUCAACCCUGGGAUGCCGGUGGAUACUGUCGGGCUCGAGUCCGGAAGAGGAGUGUGGAAUUCCUGGUGUAGCGGUGAAAUGCGCAGAUAUCAGGAGGAACACCAAUUGCGAAGGCAGCUCGCUGGGACGGUACUGACGCUGAGACGCGAAAGCGUGGGGAGCAAACAGG
rnacentral:rRNA from 1 species